UUUUUCUUCGAUUAGAACUCUAAGAAAAAAUUACGCUGUUAUCCCUAAGGUAAUUCUUCUUUUAAUCUUUAAAAAGGAUCAUUAAAUUCACUUAUUUAUGAAAUAAAAAUAAAAAAAGUUAAAUAAAUUUUUUAAUCACCCCAAUCAAAUAUAUUAUUUUAUUAAAUAACACAAAAUUCCUUUAUUUAAAUUUUUAUAAAACAUAUAUUAAACUCUAUAGGGUCUUCUCGUCUUUUAUAAAAAUUUAAGCUUUCUAACUUAAAAAUAAAAUUCAAAAAUUUAAAACCGAGACAGUUAUUUUUUCAUCAAACCUUUCAUUCCAGCUUUCAAUUAAAAAACUAAUGAUUAUGCUACCUUAGCACAGUCAAAAUACUGCGGCCGUUAAA
rnacentral:rRNA from 1 species